rnacentral:rRNA from 1 species
GGUGGAUUAGUGGCGAACGGGUGAGUAACACGUGGGCAAUCUGCCCUUCACUCUGGGACAAGCCCUGGAAACGGGGUCUAAUACCGGAUAUGACACACGACCGCAUGGNCUGUGUGUGGAAAGCUCCGGCGGUGAAGGAUGAGCCCGCGGCCUAUCAGCUUGUUGGUGGGGUGAUGGCCUACCAAGGCGACGACGGGUAGCCGGCCUGAGAGGGCGACCGGCCACACUGGGACUGAGACACGGCCCAGACUCCUACGGGAGGCAGCAGUGGGGAAUAUUGCACAAUGGGCGAAAGCCUGAUGCAGCGACGCCGCGUGAGGGAUGACGGCCUUCGGGUUGUAAACCUCUUUCAGCAGGGAAGAAGCGAAAGUGACGGUACCUGCAGAAGAAGCGCCGGCUAACUACGUGCCAGCAGCCGCGGUAAUACGUAGGGCGCAAGCGUUGUCCGGAAUUAUUGGGCGUAAAGAGCUCGUAGGCGGCUUGUCACGUCGGAUGUGAAAGCCCGGGGCUUAACCCCGGGUCUGCAUUCGAUACGGGCAGGCUAGAGUUCGGUAGGGGAGAUCGGAAUUCCUGGUGUAGCGGUGAAAUGCGCAGAUAUCAGGAGGAACACCGGUGGCGAAGGCGGAUCUCUGGGCCGAUACUGACGCUGAGGAGCGAAAGCGUGGGGAGCGAACAGGAUUAGAUACCCUGGUAGUCCACGCCGUAAACGUUGGGAACUAGGUGUGGGCGACAUUCCACGUCGUCCGUGCCGCAGCUAACGCAUUAAGUUCCCCGCCCUGGGGAGUACGGCCGCAAGGCUAAAACUCAAAGGAAAUUGACGGGGGCCCGCACAAGCAGCGGAGCAUGUGGCUUAAUUCGACGCAACGCGAAGAACCUUACCAAGGCUUGACAUACACCGGAAAACCCUGGAGACAGGGUCCCCCUUGUGGUCGGUGUACAGGUGGUGCAUGGCUGUCGUCAGCUCGUGUCGUGAGAUGUUGGGUUAAGUCCCGCAACGAGCGCAACCCUUGUUCUGUGUUGCCAGCAUGCCCUUCGGGGUGAUGGGGACUCACAGGAGACUGCCGGGGUCAACUCGGAGGAAGGUGGGGACGACGUCAAGUCAUCAUGCCCCUUAUGUCUUGGGCUGCACACGUGCUACAAUGGCCGGUACAAUGAGCUGCGAUACCGCGAGGUGGAGCGAAUCUCAAAAAGCCGGUCUCAGUUCGGAUUGGGGUCUGCAACUCGACCCCAUGAAGUCGGAGUUGCUAGUAAUCGCAGAUCAGCAUUGCUGCGGUGAAUACGUUCCCGGGCCUUGUACACACCGCCCGUCACGUCACGAAAGUCGGUAACACCCGAAGCCGG